AUGGUCAAGCUACAAAGAGCACAAGGGGAAUGCCUUGGCACCGAGAGCCGAUGAAGGACGUGACUAACUGCGAUAAGCUACGGGGAGCUGUAAGUGAGCGUUAUAUCCGUAGAUUUCCG
rnacentral:rRNA from 1 species